GGGGAAAUAAUAUAUCUGGUAGUAUAACGCUUUUGCAUAGCGUAAGGACUGGUUCAAGUCCAGUUUUCUCCA
rnacentral:tRNA from 1 species